rfam:Rattus norvegicus chromosome 13, whole genome shotgun sequence.
GGGGACUUAGCUCAGUGGUAGAGCGCUUGCCUAGGAAGCGCAAAGCUCUGGGUUCGGUCCCCAGCUCCA